rnacentral:rRNA from 1 species
UACAGAGGUCCCAAGCGUUGUUCGGAUUCAUUGGGCGUAAAGGGUGUGUAGGUGGCGCCGUAAGUCGGGUGUGAAAUCCCUCGGCUUAACCGGGGAACUGCGUCUGAUACUGGAUGGCUUGAGUUCGGGAGAGGGAUGCGGAAUUCCAGGUGUAGCGGUGAAAUGCGUAGAUAUCUGGAGGAACACCGGUGGCGAAGGCGGCAUCCUGGACCAAUUCUGACGCUGAGGAGCGAAAGCCAGGGGAGCAAACGGGG